rnacentral:rRNA from 1 species
ACACCCCUUCCCAUUCCGAACAGGAUGGUUAAGCACUAAAGCGCUGAUGGUACUACAAGGGAGGCCUUGUGGGAGAGUAAGUCGUCGCCGGGU